UGGAUCGGAGGUCCCGGUGAUGGUCGGCAUCAACAUGGUACUUCCGGUGCAACCCAGGAGCACUGGGUCAGCUCGACAGGAGUGAACCAACCGCAGGCCGGUGACGGAGCAGGUGACAACUCCCGCGCUGAGUUGUCUGUGCGCAGCCUUCGAGAGUGGAUGCUGCGUUGCUGCAUGGACAAGAUGGCAGGGUGCUGCCUUUUGUGAGGCACUGUUGCUCGCAAAUGAAAGCUUUUUCUUUCAGCCCCCGCUGGCUUUCCCUGCCAUACCGAAAGGAAGCUCCACACUCCCCAUCUGCGAAUCAAACCCCAGUCUCCUACGAGUCAGCUGGGGAUACUCACCACUAUACUAACAAACAGACAGGCCAGCAGGGGGAUCCAGGAGGCACAAGAAUGGCAUGAGUUUGCAGGAGUUCCAGGCAGCCUUGUGAUCUCCGCUUGGCUCCGAGCUACAGACCAACCAGAUGGAGAUGCACUUCAAGAAGGUAGAUGUGUCCUGUGACAGCUUCGUGGACUGGGACAAAUUUUGCUGGGGAGGUACAAGGAAAAGGAGUUGAUCUCUCAAACUAGAGACCCAUUCCUCACCCCUCAGCCACAGAUCAGGCACUGCCAAUAUAAAAAAGCGAGAGCCAACGACUCAUGUCCUGGCAGUGUUUCAACCCCCACUGCUGCACUUGUCUGUCAGCAAAAAGGGCACUCUAAUCACCUGGGACAGCAAUCUGGAAAUAAUGAGGACUCAACAGAAAAACUCCCAGGGGACACCAGUGAAGGAGACAGAAACAAAAGGAAGUUCAGGAACUGGACGACUGACGCUGUCUACAUGCAUAAUGUCCACAGGAUUGCCGUUGUCACCACCAGCAGGGACAUCCACU